CCCAGAGCCUGAAUCAGUGUGUGUGUUAGUGGAAGCGUCUGGAAAGGCGCGCGAUACAGGGUGACAGCCCCGUACACAAAAAUGCACAUGCUGUGAGCUCGAUGAGUAGGGCGGGACACGUGGUAUCCUGUCUGAAUAUGGGGGGACCAUCCUCCAAGGCUAAAUACUCCUGACUGACCGAUAGUGAACCAGUACCGUGAGGGAAAGGCGAAAAGAACCCCGGCGAGGGGAGUGAAAAAGAACCUGAAACCGUGUACGUACAAGCAGUGGGAGCACAGAGCAAUCUGUGUGACUGCGUACCUUUUGUAUAAUGGGUCAGCGACUUAUAUUCUGUAGCAAGGUUAACCGAAUAGGGGAGCCGAAGGGAAACCGAGUCUUAACUGGGCGUUAAGUUGCAGGGUAUAGACCCGAAACCCGGUGAUCUAGCCAUGGGCAGGUUGAAGGUUGGGUAACACUAACUGGAGGACCGAACCGACUAAUGUUGAAAAAUUAGCGGAUGACUUGUGGCUGGGGGUGAAAGGCCAAUCAAACCGGGAGAUAGCUGGUUCUCCCCGAAAGCUAUUUAGGUAGCGCCUCGUGAAUUCAUCUCCGGGGGUAGAGCACUGUUUCGGCAAGGGGGUCAUCCCGACUUACCAACCCGAUGCAAACUGCGAAUACCGGAGAAUGUUAUCACGGGAGACACACGGCGGGUGCUAACGUCCGUCGUGAAGAGGGAAACAACCCAGACCGCCAGCUAAGGUCCCAAAGUCAUGGUUAAGUGGGAAACGAUGUGGGAAGGCCCAGACAGCCAGGAUGUUGGCUUAGAAGCAGCCAUCAUUUAAAGAAAGCGUAAUAGCUCACUGGUCGAGUCGGCCUGCGCGGAAGAUGUAACGGGGCUAAACCAUGCACCGAAGCUGCGGCAGCGACGCUUAUGCGUUGUUGGGUA
rnacentral:rRNA from 1 species